rnacentral:lncRNA from 1 species
GUUUCUGACUUCUCUGAAAAGUUGCAUAUCGCGGGGGCUAUUCGAUGCUAGUGCAGAACCCCACAGGAUGUUUUUUUGCUGGUCAAGGGCAGUCAAGUCUGGGGCUAUAUCCAGUUCCAACUGUUCUGUCUGCGGCUAUGGAACCCUGACCUGUUCACCGGACGUGCUACCUGUCCCAGACCUGCUGUUUUCAACUCUAUAGACAGCAGGAGCGGUAGAGAUACUCUGAAUGAUCAGCUAUGAAAAGCCAACUGACAUUUACUCCUGAGGUGCUGACCUGUUGAACCCUCGACAACCACUGUGAUUAUUAUUAUGAUUAUGAUUAUUAGACCCUGCUGGUCAUCUAUGAACAUUUGAACAUCUUGGCCAUGUUCUGUUAUAAUCUCCACCCGGCACAGCCAGAAGAGGACUGGCCACCCCUCAUAGUCUGGAUCAUCUCUAGGUUUCUUCCUAGGUUCUGGACUUUCUAGGGAGUUUUUCCUAGCCACUGUGCUUCUACACCUGCAUUGCUUGCGGUUUGUGGUUUUAAGCUGGGUUUCUGUACAGCACUUUGAGAUAACAGCUGAUGUAAGAAGGGCUUUAUAAAUACAUUUGAUUUGAUGAGGGGUGGUUGUUUGACCGCGGACCCAUUAUUCAUGCAGGCAAUGAUCGCUGAGAUCCUGGUUGAAGACAGCAGAGGUGUAUUUAGAGGGCAAGUUGGUCAGGAUGAUAUCUAAGAGGGUGCCCAUGGUUACGGAUUUGGGGUUGUACCUGGUAUCUAGCUUAGAUUGUAGGACGGCUGGGGUGUUAAGCAUGUCCCAGUUUAGGUCACCUAACAGUAUGAACUCUGAAGAUAGAUGGGGGGCAAUCAAUUCACACAUGGUGUCCAGGGUACAGCUGGGGGCUGAAGGGGGUCUAUAAUAAGCGACAACGGUGAAAGACUUGUUUCUGGAAAGGUGGAUUUUAAAAAGUAGAAGCUCGAAUUGUUUGGGCACAGACCUGGAUAGUAUGACGGAACUUUGCAGGCUAACUCCGCCGCCUUUGGCAGUUCUAUCUUGUCGGAAAAUGUUAUAGUUAGGCAUGGAAAUUUCAGGAUUUUUGGUGGCCUUCCUAAGCCAGGAUUCAGACAUGGCUAGAGUGUGGCAGAGUGUGCUGAAGCAGUGAAUAAAACAAACUUAGGGAGGUGGCUUCUAAUGUUAACAUGCAUGAAACCAAGGCUUUUACGGUUACAGAAGUCAACAAAUGAGAGCGCCUGGGGAAUGAGAGUGGAGCUAGGGGCUGCAGGGCCUGGAUUAACCUCUACAUCACCAGAGGACCAGAGGAGGACUAGGAUAAGGGUACGGCUAAAGGCUAUAAGAACUGGUCGUCUAGUGCGUUUGGAACAGAGAGUAAGAGGAGCAGAUUUCUGGGUGCGGAAGAAUAGAUUCAAGGCAUAAUGUACAGACAAUGGUAUGGUUGGAUGCGAGUACAGUGGAGAUAAACCUAGGCAUUGAGUGAUGAUGAGAGGUUUUAUCUCUAGAGGCACCAUUUAAGCCAGGUGAGGUCACCGCAUGUGUGGGGGGGGUGGAACAAAAGGUCUAGCUAAGGCAUAUUGAGCAGGGCUGGAGGCUCUAUAGUGAAAUAACACAAUAAUCACUAACCAAAACAGCAAUAGACAAGGAACAUUGACAUUAGGGAGAGGCAUGUGUAGCCGAGUGAUCAUAGGGUCCAGUGAGUAGCUAGGCGAGCUGGAGACACGGUGAUUCAGGCAGCUAGCGGGCCGGGGCUAGCAGAUGAGCCUCCGGGGGACGUCGCAACGGAAGAGCCUGUUGAAACCCCCUCGAACAGUUACGUCGGCAGACCAGUCGUGAUGGAUCGGCCAAUUGGCAAAAUAGGUAUUGUAGCCCAAGAAUUGGCUGAUGGACCUCUUCGGGUAGCCGGGAG